UAAAUUUGAGCGCAUUGAAGCAAAUAGGUAAAGCUACAUAUCCAUAACCAAGAAGAAUAGAGAUCGAUGGGUGUGUCUUCUCUAUACCGUUUUCUGAUGGCUCUUCUACUUAUCGUUUCCCCUCUUCUCUUGCAGUGCGCCAACGCUAAUGCGGGCAUGACAAUGAGAAAACUGGCAGGAUCUUUGCCAAGUAAACCACCCCCCCACCGAAUGGGUCUGUUCAUAGAGUUCCAGCUUUCAAAUCUCCUCCACCACGACCACCUGCAGCCCAAUUUCCUCCCCCUCCCCCUCCGCCGCACUAUAUCUAGAGAUUUCUGGAAUGAUCAACAACUUAUUUAUAAAGGAUCUCUGUGUGUGUGUGUGUGUGUGUGUUUGCAUCUCUGUUUAAUUUGGUUUCUUCAUGCAGCGAGUAGCUGAAGCUGCAUUUCAUAUGUGCAAGGGGCAUACGUAAUUUCUUUAUUGUAAGAUUGAACAUGAACAUCUUUUUAAUCUUAAUUCUCACGAGUGGACUUGAACACUGUGAGGGCUGACGAA